rnacentral:sRNA from 28 species
GCUGCCGCAAAAUCGGCAGCCGGGAUUGGCGUCCCGUUUACAACAUUGGCGACACCGGACGCGCCUUGCGUCUUUUUU